rnacentral:rRNA from 1 species
AUGAACGCUGGCGGCGUGCCUAAUACAUGCAAGUCGAACGAGUUCUCGUUGAUGAUCGGUGCUUGCACCGAGAUUCAACAUGGAACGAGUGGCGGACGGGUGAGUAACACGUGGGUAACCUGCCCUUAAGUGGGGGAUAACAUUUGGAAACAGAUGCUAAUACCGCAUAGAUCCAAGAACCGCAUGGUUCUUGGCUGAAAGAUGGCGUAAGCUAUCGCUUUUGGAUGGACCCGCGGCGUAUUAGCUAGUUGGUGAGGUAAUGGCUCACCAAGGCGAUGAUACGUAGCCGAACUGAGAGGUUGAUCGGCCACAUUGGGGCUGAGACACGGCCCAAACUCCUACGGGAGGCAGCAGUAGGGAAUCUUCCACAAUGGACGCAAGUCUGAUGGAGCAACGCCGCGUGAGUGAAGAAGGCUUUCGGGUCGUAAAACUCUGUUGUUGGAGAAGAAUGGUCGGCAGAGUAACUGUUGUCGGCGUGACGGUAUCCAACCAGAAAGCCACGGCUAACUACGUGCCAGCAGCCGCGGUAAUACGUAGGUGGCAAGCGUUAUCCGGAUUUAUUGGGCGUAAAGCGAGCGCAGGCGGUUUUUUAAGUCUGAUGUGAAAGCCCUCGGCUUAACCGAGGAAGCGCAUCGGAAACUGGGAAACUUGAGUGCAGAAGAGGACAGUGGAACUCCAUGUGUAGCGGUGAAAUGCGUAGAUAUAUGGAAGAACACCAGUGGCGAAGGCGGCUGUCUGGUCUGUAACUGACGCUGAGGCUCGAAAGCAUGGGUAGCGAACAGGAUUAGAUACCCUGGUAGUCCAUGCCGUAAACGAUGAAUGCUAGGUGUUGGAGGGUUUCCGCUCUUCAGUGCCGCAGCUAACGCAUUAAGCAUUCCGCCUGGGGAGUACGACCGCAAGGUUGAAACUCAAAGGAAUUGACGGGGGCCCGCACAAGCGGUGGAGCAUGUGGUUUAAUUCGAAGCAACGCGAAGAACCUUACCAGGUCUUGACAUCUUUUGAUCACCUGAGAGAUCAGGUUUCCCCUUCGGGGGCAAAAUGACAGGUGGUGCAUGGUUGUCGUCAGCUCGUGUCGUGAGAUGUUGGGUUAAGUCCCGCAACGAGCGCAACCCUUAUGACUAGUUGCCAGCAUUUAGUUGGGCACUCUAGUAAGACUGCCGGUGACAAACCGGAGGAAGGUGGGGAUGACGUCAAAUCAUCAUGCCCCUUAUGACCUGGGCUACACACGUGCUACAAUGGAUGGUACAACGAGUUGCGAGACCGCGAGGUCAAGCUAAUCUCUUAAAGCCAUUCUCAGUUCGGACUGUAGGCUGCAACUCGCCUACACGAAGUCGGAAUCGCUAGUAAUCGCGGAUCAGCACGCCGCGGUGAAUACGUUCCCGGGCCUUGUACACACCGCCCGUCACACCAUGAGAGUUUGUAACACCCGAAGCCGGUGGCGUAACCCUUUUAGGGAGCGAGCCGUCUAAGGUGGGACAAAUGAUUAGGGUG